rnacentral:sRNA from 1 species
CAAAAACAAAACAAAAACAAAAAAGAGAGAAAG